UCCUAGCACUCUGGGAGGCUGAGGCAGGUGGAACACUUGAGCUCAGGAGUUUGAGAUCAGCCUGAGCAACAGUGAGACCCCAUAUCUACUAAAAAUAGAAAAACUUAGCCGGGCGUUGUGGCGGGUGCCUGUAGUCCCAGCUACUCGGGAGGCUGAGGCAAGAGGAUCGUCUAAGCUCAGGAGUUGGAAGUUGCUGUGAGCUGUGACGCUACGGUACUCUACCGAGGGUGAUAAAGUGAGACUCUGUCUCUAAAAAAAAGAAAGAGAGAAAAACUAGCUGGGCAUUGUGCUAGGCGCUUGGGAGGCUGCGGCAAGGCGAUCUCUAGAGGGCUGGGCGUGGUGGCUCACACCUGUAAUCCUAGCACUCUGGGAGGCUGAGGCAGGUGGAUUGCCUGAGCUCACAGGUUGGAGACCAGCCUGAGCCAGAGCAAGACCUCGUCUCUAAAAGCAUUGAAGUCGCCGCCGCGCCAUGCAGGACCGUGGGGCCCUCGGGGCUGCUCUUAGGGCUACACUUGUUAGUGCGGUCCAGGGGAGAAUCCUAUUCUCCUAGACGACCGCUGUGAAACGGACUCUAUGGUUUCUCCCAGCGCUUCCCACCUCGGGGAGCAUCCGGGUCACCCCCGGCUCCGCGGCUUGUCUCCUGCGCAGCCGCGGCGCACAACUGCCCUCUGCUGGGCGUGGGGACGCACUGCCGGGCGCCGCGGACCGACUUUGCCCGGGGAGGGAGAGUACUGGGCCCAGAAGAGUUAAACUUCCAGGAAAGCGCAGAAAGUAGCGACGUUAAUCUUUUCAUGAGGAAAAGGAGACUUGCUUUCUUUACGCACCAAUUUAAUACCUGAAUUCUUAGAAAUGGCAGAAAGUCUUUUGACGAUGUCUUCUCUGUCAAUAAGGACAAAAUUGCUACAUCAAACGGGAUUGUCACUGUAAUACAUCCCAUGGCUUCCAUGAAGAAGAAGAAAAAAAAAAACUUAAGCAGUUUCCUGGUGGAUCUGUUGACCUUCAGAAGGAAGACAAUGGCAUUGGCAUUCUUACUCCGAACAAUCCAAGUAAAAUGAAUGCAUUCUCAGGUGUUAUGAUACUACAAUUUCUGGAAAAAGUGAUUGAAUUAGAAAAUUGGGCAGAGGGGAAAGGCCUCAUAGUCCGAGGGGCAAAAAAUACUUUCUUUUCAGGAUCGGAUCUGAAUGCUGUGAAAGCUCUAGGAACCUCAGAGGAUGGAGUGGCCUUAUGUAUGUUCAUGCAGAACGCCUUAACAGAUUUAUGAGACUUCCUUUAAUAAGCGUUGCACUGGUUCAAGCUCGGGCAUCGGGUGGAGGAGCAGAAUUUACUACAGCGUGUGAUUUCAGGUUAAUGACAUCAGACAGUGAGAUCAGAUUUGUCCACAAGGAGAUGGGUAUAAUAUCAAGCUGGGGUGACACUAGCCGGCUUGUUGAAAUAAUUGGCAGUAGACAAGCUCUCAAAGUGUUAAGUGGUGCCUUCAAACUGGAUUCAAAAAAAGCUCUAAGCAUAGGAAUGGUCGAGGAGGUCUUACAAUCUUCAGAUGAAACUAAAUCUAGAAGUAGCUCAACAGUGGCUUCGGCAAUUUAUUAAAGGGCCACCAGAAGUAAUUAGAGCUUGAAAAAAAUCUGUUCAGGCAAAGAGCUAUAUUUAGAGGAGGCGUUACAGAAUGAAAGAGAUCUUUUAGGAACAGUUUGGGGUGAACCUGCAAAUUUAGAGGCUAUUGCUAAGAGAGGAAAAUUUAAUAAAUAGUUUAUAUAAAAUG